rnacentral:rRNA from 1 species
GAUGAACGCUGGCGGCGUGCUUAACACAUGCAAGUCGAACGGAAAGGCUCCUGCUUGCAGGGGUACUCGAGUGGCGAACGGGUGAGUAACACGUGGGUGAUCUGCCCUGCACUUCGGGAUAAGCCUGGGAAACUGGGUCUAAUACCGGAUAGGACCACAUUUUGGAUGGUGUGGUGGAAAGUUUUUCGGUGUGGGAUGAGCUCGCGGCCUAUCAGCUUGUUGGUGGGGUAAUGGCCUACCAAGGCGUCGACGGGUAGCCGGCCUGAGAGGGUGUACGGCCACAUUGGGACUGAGAUACGGCCCAGACUCCUACGGGAGGCAGCAGUGGGGAAUAUUGCACAAUGGGCGCAAGCCUGAUGCAGCGACGCCGCGUGGGGGAUGACGGCCUUCGGGUUGUAAACUCCUUUCGCUAGGGACGAGGCGCAAGUGACGGUACCUGGAGAAGAAGCACCGGCUAACUGCGUG